GACGAACGCUGGCGGCAUGCCUAAUACAUGCAAGUCGUGCGCGGGAAGCAGACUGAUCUCCUUCGGGAGUGACGACUGUGAAACGAGCGGCGGAUGGGUGAGUAUCACGUGGGUAACCUGCCUGUAAGCUUAGGAUAACUCCGGGAAACUGGAGCUAAUACUAGAUAAAGCUUUUUACCUCCUGGUAAAAAGAUGAAAGACGGUUUUGCUGUCACUUACAGAUGGACCUGCGGCGCAUUAGCUAGUUGGUGAGAUAAAAGCUUACCAAGGCAACGAUGCGUAGCCGACCUGAGAGGGUGAACGGCCACACUGGGACUGAGACACGGCCCAGACUCCUACGGGAGGCAGCAGUAGGGAAUCUUCCACAAUGGACGAAAGUCUGAUGGAGCAAUGCCGCGUGAGUGAAGAAGGUUUUCGGAUCGUAAAACUCUGUUGUGAGGGAAGAACAAGUACGGGAGUAACUGUCCGUACCUUGACGGUACCUCAUUAGAAAGCCACGGCUAACUACGUGC
rnacentral:rRNA from 1 species